rnacentral:lncRNA from 1 species
CCUUUCUUUUUUUAGUCCAAAUGAAUGCCCCAUGUUUGGUAUGCUUCACUAUGCCUCACUGGACUGGAUUGAGUUAAAUAAUACUUGAAACCCAUGUUUGGUAAGGGAGGGGAUUAUCUUAAAUGAGAUUAUAUAGUCCAAUAGUUAAAAAAAGCCCGGACUCGUACAGCUAAUAUAGUGAACCCAAAAUUGGGUUUGCAAAAUAGGACGCUUGCUGUUUUGAACACGCGAGUCCGACUUCCUUAUCGCUUAACCCCACCACAAAUCCAAUCAACGAAAAACAGUGCCCAACGCUCCAUCCUAGAUUUCUUCUGAGAACGAUCCCAACCGCCAGCAUAACCUAGAACCAUCUCUCUUCGCCAUCUGAGUCCAAUUCGUAGCAGCUCCAAAGAAAAAAAAGAAAAGCAGAAAAUAAUGAAACCAGAAACAGAGAGAAAAAAAAAAAGGAAAUAGGAAGAAAAGAAAAGAAGAAAAAAUCUGGGUCUGUGUACUUUUGAUACUGCUCCUAUUUGGGUACUUUCUUACUUGCUAAUGAUGUUUUGGGGUGUCUAGAAAUCGCUUGAGCUUUGUUGAGUUGGCGUAGUUCAUUUUCAUUCGAAGACAUCCUUCGUUGCGCUCAGACAAUGAAGAUGGCGGUGCUGGAAAAAAUGGAGCCAUCUUGCUACUAUUGCCAAAUUGCUCAUCUUGGAUUACAGGGUAUGAUGCCCUGCUUGGUGGAGACCCACAGAAAAAUGGUGGCGAUGAAGCCAGUUGGUUACUGGAUCUCACCUCACAAUUGAGGAAAGGAAAAAAAAAACAGAACAGAAAGAAAAGAUGGAGAAGAGGAGAAUAAAUAAAAGAGUGAAAAACAAGAAAAAUAAGAAUAAAAUACUAGAAAAAAAAAAAACAGGGAGAGAGAAAUAGAGCUGGCAGGGCCUGAUAGGGGUGGGGCUCUUUAAAAAAAAAAAAUUUUUUUUUUUUUGGGUAACUCUUUUUUAAUAUUCAUUAUUUUAAUAUUUAAAUUAAUUAAAAAUCAAACAUAAAUAAAUAAUUAUAC